rnacentral:lncRNA from 1 species
AUGGUGCCAAAAGCGAAGAAGGAAGUUCCUGCCCCUCCUAAAGCUGAAGCCCAAGGGAAGGCUUUAAAUGCCAAGAAAGCGGUGUUGAAAGGUGUCCACAGCCACAAAAAAAAAGAAGAUCCACACGUCACUCACCUUCUGGAGGCCCAAGACACUGGGACUCUGGAGGCCGUUCAAAUAUCCUUGGAAGAGCGCUCACAGGAGAAACAAGUUUGACCACUAUGCUAUCAUGAAGUUUCCUCUGAUCACUGAGUUGGCCAUAAAGAAGAUAGAAGACAACAACACACUUGUGUUCACUGUGGAUGUUAAAGCCAACAAGCACCAGAUCAAACAGGCUGUGAAGAAGCUCUAUGACAUUGAUGUGGCCAAGGUCAACACCCUGAUUCGACCUGAUGGAGAGAAGAAGGCAUAUGUUCAACUGGCUCCUGAUUAUGAUGCUUUGGAUGUUGCAAACAAAAUUGGGAUCAUC